rnacentral:rRNA from 1 species
GGACGAACGCUGGCGGCAGGCCUAACACAUGCAAGUCGAGCGCCCAGCAAUGGGAGCGGCAGACGGGUGAGUAACACGUGGGAACCUUCCCUAUAGUACGGAAUAGCCCAGGGAAACUUGGAGUAAUACCGCAUACGCCCGAGAGGGGAAAGAUUUAUCGCUAUAGGAUGGGCCCGCGUAGGAUUAGCUAGUUGGUGAGGUAAUGGCUCACCAAGGCGACGAUCCUUAGCUGGUCUGAGAGGACGACCAGCCACACUGGGACUGAGACACGGCCCAGACUCCUACGGGAGGCAGCAGUGGGGAAUAUUGGACAAUGGGCGCAAGCCUGAUCCAGCCAUGCCGCGUGUGUGAAGAAGGCCUUCGGGUUGUAAAGCACUUUAAGCGGGGAGGAAGGCUCUAUGGCUAAUAUCCAUGGGGAUUGACGUUACCCGCAGAAUAAGCACCGGCAAACUUCGUG